UACAGAGGUCCCAAGCGUUGUUCGGAUUCACUGGGCGUAAAGGGUGCGUAGGUGGUCGGGUAAGUCUGAUGUGAAAUCUCUGGGCUCAACCCAGAAAUGGCAUUGGAUACUAUUCGGCUAGAGGAGUGGAGGGGGAACUGGAAUACUUGGUGUAGCAGUGAAAUGCGUAGAUAUCAAGUGGAACACCAGUGGCGAAGGCGAGUUCCUAGACAAUACCUGACACUGAGGCACGAAAGCUAGGGGAGCAAACAGG
rnacentral:rRNA from 1 species